rfam:Schistosoma rodhaini strain Burundi genome assembly, scaffold: SROB_contig0005746
AUCCAGCUAACGAGUCCCAAUUAGGACGAAACCACGUCCUGGAU